rnacentral:rRNA from 1 species
AUACGGGGGGAGCAAGCGUUGUCCGGAAUCACUGGGCGUAAAGGGCGUGUAGGCGGGCUGAUAAGUCAGAUGUGAAAGCCCACGGCUUAACCGUGGAAUUGCAUUUGAUACUGUCAGUCUUGAGUGCGAGAGAGGGUAGUGGAAUUCCCGGUGUAGCGGUGAAAUGCGUAGAUAUCGGGAAGAAAACCAGUAGCGAAGGCGGCUACCUGGCUCGCAACUGACGCUAAGGCGCGAAAGCGUGGGGAGCAAACAGGAUUAGAAACCCUUGUAGUCC